rnacentral:rRNA from 1 species
CCUACGGGAGGCAGCAGUGAGGAAUAUUGGUCAAUGGGCUUACGCCUGAACCAGCCAAGUCGCGUGAGGGAAGACUGCCCUAUGGGUUGUAAACCUCUUUUGUCAGGGAGCAACGCCGGCUACGUGUAGCCGGACUGAGAGUACCUGAAGAAAAAGCAUCGGCUAACUCCGUGCCAGCAGCCGCGGUAAUACGGAGGAUGCGAGCGUUAUCCGGAUUUAUUGGGUUUAAAGGGUGCGUAGGCGGAAUGCCAAGUCAGCGGUAAAAGCGCGGGGCUAAACCUCGCUCCGCAGUUGAAACUGGCGUUCUUGAGUGGGCGAGAAGUAUGCGGAAUGCGUGGUGUAGCGGUGAAAUGCAUAGAUAUCACGCAGAACUCCGAUUGCGAAGGCAGCAUACCGGCGCCCAACUGACGCUGAAGCACGAAAGCGUGGGUAUCGAACAGGAUUAGAUACCCCAGUAGUC